AUUUCUUGUGGCUGCAGGUAAGCCUGUUCCUGCUGUGCACCUACUCUGUGGUUCCUGCCCUUGCACCUCACUUCCAACCAUCGUUUACCAGUCCUGGCUUCUGACUUGGGCCUCUGACUAUGGCUUGACCUUGACUCUGCCCCUCAGCUUUAAUUACUGACUCUAGUUUGACCCCUGGCUCUCAUAAUUGGCAGUUGACUCGAGGGCUGAUCCUUGGCUUUGUUCCCCAACCUGGAUGCCUGCUCUGACCACUAGGCCAGCCUGCAUAUAUUAUGGGCUAUAAGUCUUCCCCUUGUUGAAAAGCAGGUUUAAAAACACCCAGCCCCCGCACUCCUUCACAGUCAAGAACCACGAGAGAGAGAGAGAGAAAUAUGUAGAGCUCAUUUAUUUACCGGGAGAAAGGGAGCGAGCAUUUCUGUUUGGAGUCCCUAAUGCAUUGCCGAGCUCGGAGAGAUGCUGGAGGAAUGGAUCAAUAGUUCGGUGGACAUGCAGCACGCAAGCGGGAAACGAAAGAGCUGCACUGGAAGGGGUCAGCGUUUGUGUUGCAAUGAUGGUUCCUCUUUGGAAAGCGAUUUCCUGCUUCAGCAUUUGCAGACCGUUUCGCUUCCCACCAGUGUGCUAUGAUUGCUGCCAAAAAUACAGCAAGAGAAGAAAAGAGAGCAGGUUUGGGACCUCGUGUGUUAUCAGCGAGGACUUUUUUUUUUUCCAGCCCAUACUGUUUGUAACUCUUUCCCCUCCCCCCCCCCAAUAUGCUCAUUAUAAGUAAUGCUAUCUCGCUCUAAAGGUCACCGAGUUCUGUCUGAUGAAUAGGCUUCUCUUCUGAUUCAUUAUGUUUGAUGCACAGCUUUUCCUGGAGUCAACUCAGCCAAACCUUUGGGUUAAUGGGAGCCACACCGUCUCCUUAAUCCAGGAGUUUUGAAUUCUUGUGUUUGUGUUGGACGUAGAGGCUGAGGCGCUGUGGAAAAGCCUGGUCUUUUAGGGUCAGAGAAGUUCCUUUUGAUCAUCAUCAGCAGUGAUGUGAACCAGAGGUCACACAUUUUCCACCAAUCCUCCAGAUCUACCAGACGGCCGCAACUGUGUCUGCUUGUUCCCCCCGCUGAAGUCAGGCAAUGCUUCCCGUUCCAUCUCCCACGGUCCGAGGGAACCUGAUGUUCCCCUUCUGCCACUGGCUUUCCAAGGACUCUGGACCAUGAGGGGCCGUGUCCUGUCAUCACAUUAAAUCAUCUGAAUACAAUCCCCCUUCCAGCCACACACACCCCCACCCUCCCACUGAAAGGCACCAUAUUCCCCACUCAUCUCAGCCAUUAGUAUCUUCCCAUCAGCAUGAUUUUUUCCCCCCUGUGGGUGAUUUCCUGAAGGCACUAAAAGAAGCAGAAAUAUUAGAAUCCUUUAGGAUUUAGAGCAAACCUCUUCCUUUCCUUUAAGGAUAGUGGGACAAGAUUCACAUAGAUACUGAAGCCAGGCAAUUCCAGUCCAUCAUCAUGCAUCCCACCACUACCUUUUCUUCCCCCCGUCCCCUCUUUUUCACAUACCUUUUUUUUCUAUAAUAUGCAUAUGUCUGACCCAUUUCUCUAACUAGUACCUAUGAAGGGAUAAAUAAGUGGCACAAUGGACAUGCGUUAUGAUGGAAUGAGAAUGUUGUGUCCUUCUAGAUUCCUCCUCAUUUUGGCAUUCAGCCUUGUUCGUCCUCAUCACAUGACAUGUACUAAAUAGCACGUAAUACACAAGAAUGCCACACCCCACAGUUUGAUGAUGACUGCCGCAAAAAUGCAAAUUCAGGGCAUAUCCCUUUCUGGUUUAAUAACCCAAAGCUCUAAUAGCUGGGAACCUGCUCUCUGUAUGGGCCUAAGUGCCAGUGAAAAUAUUCAUCUUGUGAUAAGGGCGUUUGUGAAUGUUGCUGUUAGAAACAAAUCUGCUCCGAUAGGGUCAGAAUGGGGCGGGCUGGCACGUGACACAAACGUGUGCAAUGGAGGGAGAAUGGAAAGGAACUUUUCCUCCUUUGUGGCCAUCCCUCAGGGCUGGGCCACUCUGAGCUACUACCUCCAUAGGUGUCUGACUUGGCAAAGGGGGGUCAAAAGGGUGUGGCUUUGCCCGUCCCUCUAAUUCCUAGAGAGGAAGAUGGUCCAGUGGUUAGAGCACUAGCCUGGACGAUGCGAGACCUUUGCUCAAUUUCUGAUCUGCCGCAAAGCUCGUGUGUCACCCUGGGCAAAACAUUUCGUUUCUGGGCCUCAGUUCCUCACUGCAGACUGGAGAUAGCAGCACUGCCCUGCCUCACAAGGGCAUGCCAAUUUACACCAACUGAGGAUCUGCCCCCUUAGAGAGAAUCUAGAGAACAUUACCUCCGGGAUGACAUUUGGAGGGCUCUUCAACAUCUACUAGUCAAGAAGGAUUGAGGACCUAAAAUUCAUACAGUCAGAGAGGAAGAUCCUUAGCCGGUGUAAACUUGGCAUAACUCCAUGAAUGGAUCUGGAGCCGAGGAUCUUUCCCAAAAUGUCUAUAGUGCUUACAUGGGGUCUAAUCCUCUUCCUAUUUACAAUGAUUCUGCCAUAACUCCACGGACUUCACAUGAGUUCGUUACUCCUGGUUUACACUGGUUCAAGUGAGAAGAGAAUUAGGCUCCAUGAUGUUUUGUUACAUUUCUGUGUUCUCACUAGCUUGCAGCCCGAAAGGUCUAAAUUGAGUCCUAGUAUCGAUCCACUGACAUCCUAGGAUUGUUUCCAUUUACACCCGGGUUGACUUUACCCUGAGAUUGUGUGUGUUUUAAGCGUUCAUCUGCUGCUUUUAGGGCGAGUGCACAGUGUGUGGCAGUGAAUCUCAGAGCCUGGGUCUACAGAGUCAGGAUUGCAGUACGGUGCUAAAAAUAGCUGUGUAGAGGUUGCUGCUUGGGCUCCAAAAGCCAACUCCCCUUCCUACUGUCCUGCCAUUUAUCUGCCCCCUGAAACCAUCACAACUGGCCACUGUAGAAAUGUUUAUGGCAUCAGACUGGAUGAUGAUUUCAAGUGGAAAAAAUCAGCAGGAGUAGAUCUCUUAAGAAACAAGAAUGUUAUGAUUAUGUGCAUGUUAGGAAAUUAAGAACGAAGGAAGAAAUAUGCACAAACUCUAUGAAAUAGAUGCAGAAAUGUUUCAGCAUCUAUGUUUCCAUGAAGCAUCAACACAUUCAGAAGGCCCUGAUCCAGCAAAAAUGUAUAUACAUGCUUAACGUUAAGCAUGGGAGUAAUGCCACUGAAGUCAGUAAGCCUACUCAUGUGCUUAAUGUUAAGGAUGUGGGCGUUUGCAGGAUCAGGGCUGAAGUUUGUACAAUAGACAGUCCUUGUACAAGCACAGCUUCUCAAGUAAUAGGAACUUUAACUGGCAUGAAAAUUAAUAUACAAAAGUUAUUAAAAUAAUUUAUCAUUGCAUCAAGUAAGAGGAUAAAAAUAGAGUUGACAGAAAUAUAGACAUUUCUGUUUGUCUAGUUUUGCUAUGAAAUUACUUCAUUUUUUAUCAAAACUGCAUGAAUUGUAUUUUUGCAAAAUGACUUUUGAGUGUGAUCCAACUGUGAAAUUCUGCAAAAUUCAGGGGAACCACCCUCAAAUGACCUGGUAAAAGUAACUGCUUCAUAGUUUUCUAAGUUAACUUUUGGGUGUGGAAAGAAGUUGUUUCGGAGAUGAAACUUGGGAGGGCCCAUGACCUGCUGUCAGAGCGUGUUUACUCCCACCUUCCAUUGCCAAAACAGCUUCCUUCCAUGCCCAAAAUGUAAUGAAUGAACAUACCAAAAUGUAAUGAAACAGAAAAGAGAAAUUAAAGCAAAGUCGGUCCACCUUACAGUUCCAAUGACGUCAAGCAAUCUGGUUAAGAACACGGUCACCCUGUUUGACUGAUUUCUAUAAUAAAGAAGAUGCAUGUGUUAAUAAGCAAAGUUUCUGUUACAGCUGAUAUUUGUUUGCUUAUUUGGUGGUGCUAAUAAGUAUCAGUGAAAGGAAUUGUUGUUGUUACUCCUGGGUCCAUUUCAAGUUGCACAGUGAGGGGUGAGGGUGUGUUAAGUCGGCCAUAUUUAUAGUUAUCCAAACUGGAAUUUAGCCAGGUCACUAGGGCGAACAUUGCUGUUCUUGGGGAAAGUGCCAUAGACUCUUUCAUGAUCAUAUGUGGUCAUGACCUCAGUUUACAUCUCAUCCAAAAGGCAUCACCUCCCAUAGCACAGUGACCUCAAUGCAAUAUGGUAACUGGUUAUUGAAAAGGGCCCAUCUACUGAAUCAUUUGGGGUUAGUUUAAACUGAUUCCUAAU